GCCAAUGCUUGUGAGUAAACCCUGGAUGAAAAGAGCAAGGGGGUCACAUGCCCCCUUCCCCACCCUGGGGGCCAUAUGAUAUCACUGAACACCGGGAUGUUUUUCUUCCUCUCCACUAACACACCUGCCAUGGAAGGAAGUCUUCUCAUUCUUGAUGCGUAGAAGGAAAUUGGAUGUUUGCUUCAGGGGACUUGUUGUUUUGGGCUGCAGUACAAGAGGUCUAUCAGAUGCAUUCAGGAAGUUCGCAAGCAAAGACACGGGGAGCAAACCCAGUUCUACUCUGGUUCCCAGCAACAUGCAUUUAAGGUCUCUGGUCCAGGAUAUGAGAUCCCUCACAUCCUGGACAUAAACUGUUUCAACUCCUACCAUCAAAACAACGCUAUAGAGCAUUGCACACCAGAACAACUAGACACAAGAACAGUUUCUUCCCGAACACCAUCACUCUGCUAAACAAAUAAUUCCUUCAACACUGUCAAACUAUUUAUUAAAUCUGCACUACUAUUAAUC